CAGACCUCUAAUCGAAAAAAGA
rnacentral:rRNA from 1 species